rnacentral:tmRNA from 1 species
GGGGGUGUAAAGGUUUCGACAGGGAUUUUGAAUUACGAUAAGCGAGCGGUGGUGCGAACCACCUAAAUCAGCGCAAACUUUAAAAUUAAACGACAACUCUAAAGUUGCUCUUGCAGCUUAAUUAAGCUGCCGUCCAAUGCAGAAGUACCGCGGUCUGCUGCGGGCGUCGAUUAGCGGUGAACGUGAACCUAGCAAUGCUAAUAGCUUGGUCACGACUUAUUAGCUACUGAACACGGAAGGCUGACGGCCUCCUUACGUGUGAGGGAAAUUUGAUGACCGUCUGCGCUCGGAGAAAUUUGUAAGGAUGAAUCUUUGGACGUGGGUUCGACUCCCACCACCUUCACCA